UUCACCCAAAGCUGAGUUCUA
rnacentral:tRNA from 1 species